rnacentral:rRNA from 1 species
AUUGAACGCUGGCGGCAGGCCUAACACAUGCAAGUCGAGCGGAUGAAGGGAGCUUGCUCCUGGAUUCAGCGGCGGACGGGUGAGUAAUGCCUAGGAAUCUGCCUGGUAGUGGGGGAUAACGUCCGGAAACGGGCGCUAAUACCGCAUACGUCCUGAGGGAGAAAGUGGGGGAUCUUCGGACCUCACGCUAUCAGAUGAGCCUAGGUCGGAUUAGCUAGUUGGUGGGGUAAAGGCCUACCAAGGCGACGAUCCGUAACUGGUCUGAGAGGAUGAUCAGUCACACUAGAACUGAGACACGGUCCAGACUCCUACGGGAGGCAGCAGUGGGGAAUAUUGGACAAAAGGCGAAAGCCUGAUCCAGCCAUGCCGCGUGUGUGAAGAAGGUCUUCGGAUUGUAAAGCACUUUAAGUUGGGAGGAAGGGCAGUAAGUUAAUACCUUGCUGUUUUGACGUUACCAACAGAAUAAGCACCGGCUAACUUCGUG